rnacentral:rRNA from 1 species
AUUGAACGCUGGCGGCAGGCCUAACACAUGCAAGUCGAGCGGUAACAGAUCUAGCUUGCUAGAUGCUGACGAGCGGCGGACGGGUGAGUAAUGCAUAGGAAUCUGCCCGAUAGUGGGGGAUAACCUGGGGAAACCCAGGCUAAUACCGCAUACGUCCUACGGGAGAAAGGGGGCUCCGGCUCCCGCUAUGGGAUGAGCCUAUGUCGGAUUAGUUAGUUGGUGAGGUAACGGCUCACCAAGGCCACGAUCCGUAGCUGGUCUGAGAGGAUGAUCAGCCACAUCGGGACUGAGACACGGCCCGAACUCCUACGGGAGGCAGCAGUGGGGAAUAUUGGACAAUGGGGGCAACCCUGAUCCAGCCAUGCCGCGUGUGUGAAGAAGGCCCUCCGGGUUGUAAAGCACUUUCAGCGAGGAAGAACGCCUAGCGGUUAAUACCCGCUAGGAGAGACAUCACUCGCAGAAGAAGCACCGCUAACU